GCCGGGCGUGGUGGCUCACGCCUGUAAUCCAGCACUUUGGGAGGCCGAGGUGGGUGGAUCACCUGAGGUCAGGAGUUCGAGACCAGCCUGGCCAACAUGGAGAAACCCCAUCUCUA
ensembl:misc_RNA Metazoa_SRP Metazoan signal recognition particle RNA